rnacentral:rRNA from 1 species
CGGUAAUUCCAGCUCCAAUAGCGUAUACUAAAGUUGUUGCAGUUAAAAAGCUCGUAGUUGGAUUUCUGUGGGGACGGAGCGGCCGGCCGCAACUUGCGGUUCGAGCUAGCGCUUUCCCUACAUCCUGCCGCGAACCGUGCUACCAUUAGUUUGGUGGCGCCGGGGAUCGGCUCGUUUACUUUGAGAAAAAUAGAGUGUUCAAAGCAGGCCACACGCCUUGAAUAAGUUAGCAUGGAAUAAUAAUAAAGGACUUCGGUUCUAUUUUGUUGGUGUUCGGGACUGAAGUAAUGAUUGAUAGGGACAGUUGGGGCGGUCAGUAUUCCAAAGCGAGAGGUGAAAUUCUUAGACCUUCGGAAGACUAACAGCUGCGAAAGCGUUCCGCAAGGAUGUUCCCUUUGAUCAAGAACGAAAGUUGGGGGAUCGAAGACGAUCAGAUACCGUCGUAGUCUCAACUAUAAACUAUACCAGCUAGGGAUCGGCCAACGUUAAAUUAUCCGACUUGGUCGGCACCUUAUGAGAAAUCAAAGCAUCUGGGUUCCGGGGGGAGUAUGGUCGCAAGGCUGAAACUUAAAAGAAUUGACGGAAGGGCACCACCAGCCGUGGAGCCUGUGGCUUAAUUUGACUCAACACGGGAAAACUUACCAGGUCCAGACAUAGUAAGGAUUGACAGAUUGAUAGCUCUUUCUUGAUUCUGUGGGUGGUGGUGCAUGGCCGUUCUUAGUUGGUGGAGUGAUUUGUCUGGUUAAUUCCGUUAACGAACGAGACCCCAGCCUGCUAAAUAGCGCGGUUGAGCUUUGCUCGGCGCGAGCUUCUUAGAGGGACUAUGAUGCGCGAUAGCACAUGGAAGUUUGGGGCAAUAACAGGUCUGUGAUGCCCUUAGAUGUUCUGGGCCGCACACGGGCUACACUGGCGCCUGCAACGAGCAUAUCAGCUGGCCCGAGAGGGUCUUGGCUAAUCUUUUGAACCGGCGCCGUGCUUGGGAUUGACCAUUGCAAUUGUUGGUCAUGCAACGAGGAAUGCCUUGUAAACGCGAGUCAUCAACUCGCAUUGAAUACGUCCCUGCCCUUUGUACACACCGCCCGUCGCUCCUACCGAUGAAUGUUCCGAUGAAAUUUUCGGAGAGCGCUUGUGAAGUUGGCCCUGCCUUCCGAACGAGAGGCUCAAAGUCACUUAAAUCUGAACAUUUCGAGGAAGGAGAAGUCGUAACAAGGUAGCCG